rnacentral:rRNA from 1 species
GACGAACGCUGGCGGCGUGCUUAACACAUGCAAGUCGAACGGAUUGCUUGGUGCUUGCACUGAGUGGUUAGUGGCGAACGGGUGAGUAACACGUGAGUAACCUGCCCCCUUCUUUGGGAUAAGCACCUGAAAGGGUGUCUAAUACUGAUUAUUCUGCUGGAAUCGCAUGGUUGUGGUUGGAAAGGUUUUUCUGGUGGGGGAUGGGCUCGCGGCUUAUCAGCUUGUUGGUGGGGUAAUGGAUUACCAAGGCUUUGACUGGUAACCGGCCUGAGAGGGCGACCGGUCACAUUGGGACUGAGAUACGGCCCAGACUCCUACGGGAGGCAGCAGUGGGGAAUAUUGCACAAUGGACGAAAGUCUGAUGCAGCGACGCCGCGUGAGGGAUGAAGGCCUUCGGGUUGUAAACCUUUUUCGCUUUUGACCAAGGCAGCAUUUUGGUGUUGUUGAGGGUACGAGGUAAAGAAGCUCCGGCUAACUACGUGCCAGCAGCCGCAGUAAGAC